rnacentral:rRNA from 1 species
AACGAACGCUGGCGGCGGGGUUUAGGCAUGCAAGUCGAGCGAGAAAGGGGAAACCCGAGUAAAGCGGCGUAAGGGUGAGUAAUAGGUAGUUCACGUAUCCUCCAGAUGCGGAUAAAUUCCCCGAAAGGGGUUGUAAUACGCGAUGAGACCACGCGGGAUCCGUCCUGUGAGGUCAAAGGUUCGGGAUCCUUCGGGACCGAGCGCUGGUGGAGCGGACGACCUCCGAUUAGCUAGAUGGCGGGUAACGCCCACCANGGCGAUGAUCGGUAGCCGGCCUGAGAGGGUGUUCGGCCACACUGGGACUGAGACACUGCCCGGACUCCUACGGGAGGCUGCAGUCGCGAAUCAUUCACAAUGGGCGCAAGCCUGAUGAUGCCACGCCGCGUGC